rnacentral:rRNA from 1 species
GCACAGUUUAUACCGUAGCUUGCUACACCAUAGACUGUGAGUUGCGAACGGGUGAGUAACGCGUAUGUAACCUGCCUAUUAGAGGGGGAUAACUAUUGGAAACGAUAGCUAAUACCGCAUAACAGUAUGUAACACAUGUUAGAUGCUUGAAAGAUGCAAUUGCAUCGCUAGUAGAUGGACCUGCGUUGUAUUAGCUAGUAGGUAGGGUAAAGGCCUACCUAGGCAACGAUACAUAGCCGACCUGAGAGGGUGAUCGGCCACACUGGGACUGAGACACGGCCCAGACUCCUACGGGAGGCAGCAGUAGGGAAUCUUCGGCAAUGGGGGGAACCCUGACCGAGCAACGCCGCGUGAGUGAAGAAGGUUUUCGGAUCGUAAAGCUCUGUUGUUAAGGAAGAACGAGUGUGAGAAUGGAAAGUUCAUACUGUGACGGUACUUAACCAGAAAGGGACGGCUAACUACGUGCCAGCAGCCGCGGUAAUACGUAGGUCCCGAGCGUUGUCCGGAUUUAUUGGGCGUAAAGCGAGCGCAGGCGGUUAGAAAAGUCUGAAGUGAAAGGCAGUGGCUCAACCAUUGUAGGCUUUGGAAACUGUUUAACUUGAGUGCAGAAGGGGAGAGUGGAAUUCCAUGUGUAGCGGUGAAAUGCGUAGAUAUAUGGAGGAACACCGGUGGCGAAAGCGGCUCUCUGGUCUGUAACUGACGCUGAGGCUCGAAAGCGUGGGGAGCGAACAGGAUUAGAUACCCUGGUAGUCCACGCCGUAAACGAUGAGUGCUAGGUGUUAGGUCCUUUCCGGGACUUAGUGCCGUAGCUAACG